UCUCUUUCUCUCUUCCUCCUCUCUUCUCCUCCUCUCCUCCUCUUCUUUUCUCUUUUCUUGGUCAUCUAAAGAUUGAAGAAGAGAGAAAAGAGAGAGAGAGAGAUUCUGAGAAGAGAAACCACAAUUUUGAAUGUAUUUUGCGACUUUGAUGACAAAAUCUUUCAUUUUUAAAACUUCUUCUUUUUGAACAAAAAUCAAAGAA
rnacentral:ribozyme from 13 species